GUAAAUAUAGUUUAACAAAAAUAUUAGAUUGUGAAUCUAAUGACAGAAGCUAGCAUCUUCUUAUUUACC
rnacentral:tRNA from 2 species